UUACUACUCCCUCCGUCCGGAAAUACUUGUCCUCGAAAUGGUUGUAUCUAGACUUAUUUUAGUUAUAGAUACAUUUCAUUUUAUCCAUUUUGAGGACAAGUAUUUCCGGACAGAGGGAGUACUAC
rnacentral:pre_miRNA from 1 species